rnacentral:misc_RNA from 1 species
UUCCGUAGGUGAACCUGCGGAAGGAUCAUUACCGAGUGAGGGCCCUCUGGGUCCAACCUCCCACCCGUGUUUAUUUUACCUUGUUGCUUCGGCGGGCCCGCCUUAACUGGCCGCCGGGGGGCUUACGCCCCCGGGCCCGCGCCCGCCGAAGACACCCUCGAACUCUGUCUGAAGAUUGUAGUCUGAGUGAAAAUAUAAAUUAUUUAAAACUUUCAACAACGGAUCUCUUGGUUCCGGCAUCGAUGAAGAACGCAGCGAAAUGCGAUACGUAAUGUGAAUUGCAAAUUCAGUGAAUCAUCGAGUCUUUGAACGCACAUUGCGCCCCCUGGUAUUCCGGGGGGCAUGCCUGUCCGAGCGUCAUUUCUGCCCUCAAGCACGGCUUGUGUGUUGGGCCCCGUCCUCCGAUCCCGGGGGACGGGCCCGAAAGGCAGCGGCGGCACCGCGUCCGGUCCUCGAGCGUAUGGGGCUUUGUCACCCGCUCUGUAGGCCCGGCCGGCGCUUGCCGAUCAACCCAAAUUUUUAUCCAGGUUGACCUCGGAUCAGGUAGGGAUACCCGCUGAACUUAAGCAUAUCAAUAAGCGGAGGA